rnacentral:rRNA from 1 species
AUUGAACGCUGGCGGCAGGCCUAACACAUGCAAGUCGAGCGGUAGAGAGAAGCUUGCUUCUCUUGAGAGCGGCGGACGGGUGAGUAAUGCCUAGGAAUCUGCCUGGUAGUGGGGGAUAACGUUCGGAAACGGACGCUAAUACCGCAUACGUCCUACGGGAGAAAGCAGGGGACCUUCGGGCCUUGCGCUAUCAGAUGAGCCUAGGUCGGAUUAGCUAGUUGGUGGGGUAAUGGCUCACCAAGGCGACGAUCCGUAACUGGUCUGAGAGGAUGAUCAGUCACACUGGAACUGAGACACGGUCCAGACUCCUACGGGAGGCAGCAGUGGGGAAUAUUGGACAAUGGGCGAAAGCCUGAUCCAGCCAUGCCGCGUGUGUGAAGAAGGUCUUCGGAUUGUAAAGCACUUUAAGUUGGGAGGAAGGGCAGUAAAUUAAUACUUUGCUGUUUUGACGUUACCGACAGAAUAAGCACCGGCUAACUCUGUGCCAGCCGCCGCCGUAACAC